rnacentral:rRNA from 1 species
CCUACGGGAGGCUACAGUGAGGAAUAUUGGUCAAUGGCCGGAAGGCUGAACCAGCCAUGCCGCGUGAAGGUCAGUGCCCUAUGGGCGUUAAACUUCUUUUGUGCGGGAGCAAUAAUGGUCACGUGUGGCCAGACGAGAGUACCGUACGAAUAAGCAUCGGCUAACUCCGUGCCAGCAGCCGCGGUAAUACGGGGGAUGCAAGCGUUAUCCGGAUUUAUUGGGUUUAAAGGGUGCGUAGGCUGUGAGGUAAGUCAGCGGGGAAAUGCCCCCGCUCAACGGGGUGAAGUGCCAUUGAUACUGCCUUGCUGGAAUGCGGAUGCCGUGGGAGGAAUGUGUGGUGUAGCGGUGAAAUGCAUAGGUAACACACAGAACACCGAUUGCGAAGGCAUCUCACGAAUCCGCGAUUGACGCUGAUGCACGAAAGCGUGGGUAUCAAACAGGAUUAGAUACCCCAGUAGUC